rnacentral:rRNA from 1 species
UGGAAAUCAUUCAUAGAGUGUAAAGGCAUAAGGGAGCUUGACUGCGAGACCUACAAGUCGAGCAGGGUCGAAAGACGGACUUAGUGAUCCGGUGGUUCCGCAUGGAAGGGCCAUCGCUCAACGGAUAAAAGCUACCCCGGGGAUAACAGGCUUAUCUCCCCCAAGAGUUCACAUCGACGGGGAGGUUUGGCACCUCGAUGUCGGCUCAUCGCAUCCUGGGGCUGUAGUCGGUCCCAAGGGUUGGGCUGUUCGCCCAUUAAAGCGGUACGCGAGCUGGGUUCAGAACGUCGUGAGACAGUUCGGUCCCUAUCCGUCGUGGGCGUAGGAAAUUUGAGAGGAGCUGUCCUUAGUACGAGAGGACCGGGAUGGACAUACCUCUGGUGUACCAGUUGUCGUGCCAACGGCAUAGCUGGGUAGCUAUGUAUGGACGGGAUAAGUGCUGAAAGCAUCUAAGCAUGAAGCCCCCCUCAAGAUGAGAUUUCCCAACUUCGGUUAUAAGAUCCCUCGAAGAUGACGAGGUUAAUAGGUUCGAGGUGGAAGCGUGGUGACACGUGGAGCUGACGAAUACUAAUCGAUCGAAGACUUAAUCAAUUU